GGUUAAGCGACUAAGCGUACACGGUGGAUGCCCUGGCAGUCAGAGGCGAUGAAGGACGUGCUAAUCUGCGAUAAGCGCCGGUAAGGUGAUAUGAACCGUUAUAACCGGCGAUUUCCGAAUGGGGAAACCCAGUGUGAUUCGUCACACUAUCAUUAACUGAAUCCAUAGGUUAAUGAGGCGAACCGGGGGAACUGAAACAUCUAAGUACCCCGAGGAAAAGAAAUCAACCGAGAUUCCCCCAGUAGCGGCGAGCGAACGGGGAGGAGCCCAGAGCCUGAAUCAGCAUGUGUGUUAGUGGAAGCGUCUGGAAAGGCGCGCGAUACAGGGUGACAGCCCCGUACACAAAAGCGCAUGUGCUGUGAGCUCGAUGAGUAGGGCGGGACACGUGGUAUCCUGUCUGAAUAUGGGGGGACCAUCCUCCAAGGCUAAAUACUCCUGACUGACCGAUAGUGAACCAGUACCGUGAGGGAAAGGCGAAAAGAACCCCGGCGAGGGGAGUGAAAAAGAACCUGAAACCGUGUACGUACAAGCAGUGGGAGCACCCUUUUGGGUGUGACUGCGUACCUUUUGUAUAAUGGGUCAGCGACUUAUAUUCUGUAGCAAGGUUAACCGCAUAGGGGAGCCGGAGGGAAACCGAGUCUUAAUUGGGCGUUAAGUUGCAGGGUAUAGACCCGAAACCCGGUGAUCUAGCCAUGGGCAGGUUGAAGGUUGGGUAACACUAACUGGAGGACCGAACCGACUAAUGUUGAAAAAUUAGCGGAUGACCUGUGGCUGGGGGUGAAAGGCCAAUCAAACCGGGAGAUAGCUGGUUCUCCCCGAAAGCUAUUUAGGUAGCGCCUCGUGAAUUCAUCUCCGGGGGUAGAGCACUGUUUCGGCUAGGGGGCCAUCCCGGCUUACCAACCCGAUGCAAACUGCGAAUACCGGAGAAUGUUAUCACGGGAGACACACGGCGGGUGCUAACGUCCGUCGUGAAGAGGGAAACAACCCAGACCGCCAGCUAAGGUCCCAAAGUCAUGGUUAAGUGGGAAACGAUGUGGGAAGGCCCAGACAGCCAGGAUGUUGGCUUAGAAGCAGCCAUCAUUUAAAGAAAGCGUAAUAGCUCACUGGUCGAGUCGGCCUGCGCGGAAGAUGUAACGGGGCUAAACCAUGCACCGAAGCUGCGGCAGCGACGCUUAUGCGUUGUUGGGUAGGGGAGCGUUCUGUAAGCCUGCGAAGGUGGCCUGUGAGGGUUGCUGGAGGUAUCAGAAGUGCGAAUGCUGACAUAAGUAACGAUAAAGCGGGUGAAAAGCCCGCUCGCCGGAAGACCAAGGGUUCCUGUCCAACGUUAAUCGGGGCAGGGUGAGUCGACCCCUAAGGCGAGGCCGAAAGGCGUAGUCGAUGGGAAACGGGUUAAUAUUCCCGUACUUGGUGUUACUGCGAAGGGGGGACGGAGAAGGCUAUGUUGGCCGGGCGACGGUUGUCCCGGUUUAAGCGUGUAGGUGUGUGUUCCAGGUAAAUCCGGUUCACUUUAACACUGAGGCGUGACGACGAGGCACUACGGUGCUGAAGCAACAAAUGCCCUGCUUCCAGGAAAAGCCUCUAAGCAUCAGGUAACAUCAAAUCGUACCCCAAACCGACACAGGUGGUCAGGUAGAGAAUACCAAGGCGCUUGAGAGAACUCGGGUGAAGGAACUAGGCAAAAUGGUGCCGUAACUUCGGGAGAAGGCACGCUGACACGUAGGUGAAGUGAUUUACUCAUGGAGCUGAAGUCAGUCGAAGAUACCAGCUGGCUGCAACUGUUUAUUAAAAACACAGCACUGUGCAAACACGAAAGUGGACGUAUACGGUGUGACGCCUGCCCGGUGCCGGAAGGUUAAUUGAUGGGGUCAGCGCAAGCGAAGCUCCUGAUCGAAGCCCCGGUAAACGGCGGCCGUAACUAUAACGGUCCUAAGGUAGCGAAAUUCCUUGUCGGGUAAGUUCCGACCUGCACGAAUGGCGUAAUGAUGGCCAGGCUGUCUCCACCCGAGACUCAGUGAAAUUGAACUCGCUGUGAAGAUGCAGUGUACCCGCGGCAAGACGGAAAGACCCCGUGAACCUUUACUAUAGCUUGACACUGAACAUUGAGCCUUGAUGUGUAGGAUAGGUGGGAGGCUUUGAAGUGUGGACGCCAGUCUGCAUGGAGCCGACCUUGAAAUACCACCCUUUAAUGUUUGAUGUUCUAACGUGGACCCGUGAUCCGGGUUGCGGACAGUGUCUGGUGGGUAGUUUGACUGGGGCGGUCUCCUCCUAAAGAGUAACGGAGGAGCACGAAGGUUGGCUAAUCCUGGUCGGACAUCAGGAGGUUAGUGCAAUGGCAUAAGCCAGCUUGACUGCGAGCGUGACGGCGCGAGCAGGUGCGAAAGCAGGUCAUAGUGAUCCGGUGGUUCUGAAUGGAAGGGCCAUCGCUCAACGGAUAAAAGGUACUCCGGGGAUAACAGGCUGAUACCGCCCAAGAGUUCAUAUCGACGGCGGUGUUUGGCACCUCGAUGUCGGCUCAUCACAUCCUGGGGCUGAAGUAGGUCCCAAGGGUAUGGCUGUUCGCCAUUUAAAGUGGUACGCGAGCUGGGUUUAGAACGUCGUGAGACAGUUCGGUCCCUAUCUGCCGUGGGCGCUGGAGAACUGAGGGGGGCUGCUCCUAGUACGAGAGGACCGGAGUGGACGCAUCACUGGUGUUCGGGUUGUCAUGCCAAUGGCACUGCCCGGUAGCUAAAUGCGGAAGAGAUAAGUGCUGAAAGCAUCUAAGCACGAAACUUGCCCCGAGAUGAGUUCUCCCUGAGACUUAAAGUCUCCUGAAGGAACGUUGAAGACGACGACGUUGAUAGGCCGGGUGUGUAAGCGCAGCGAUGCGUUGAGCUAACCGGUACUAAUGAACCGUGAGGCUUAACCUUAC
rnacentral:rRNA from 1 species